rnacentral:snRNA from 1 species
AGCUUUGCGCAGUGGCAGUAUCGUAGCCAAUGGGGUUUAUCCGAGGCACGAUUAUUGCUAA